rnacentral:rRNA from 1 species
UACGUAGGAUGCAAGCGUUGUCCGGAAUUAUUGGGCGUAAAGCGUACGUAGGCGGUUCGUUAAGUCAGGGGUUAAAGACUGAGGCUCAACCUCAGGAGUGCCCUUGAUACUGGCGGGCUGGAGGACGGCAGAGGAAAGUGGAAUUCCCAGUGUAGCGGUGAAAUGCGUAGAUAUUGGGAGGAACACCAGUGGCGAAAGCGACUUUCUGGGCCGUUCCUGACGCUGAGGUACGAAAGCGUGGGGAGCAAACAGG